rnacentral:rRNA from 1 species
AGGAUAAACGCUGGCGGCGUGCCUAACACAUGCAAGUCGAACGCGCUUUCGGGCUUCGGUGCGAGAGCGAGUGGCGGACGGGUGAGUAACACAUGGGUACCUGCCUUUCAGUGAGGGAUACCGGCGAGAAAUCGCCGACAAUACCGCAUGGGCUUGUGGGAACACAAGCAAAGUGGCGCAAGCCACGCUGGAAGAUGGGCCUGUGGCCGAUUAGCUAGUUGGGGGGGUAACGGCCUCCCAAGGCGACGAUCGGUAGCUGGUCUGAGAGGACGAUCAGCCACACUGGGAUUGAGAGCGGCCCAGACUCCUACGGGGGGCAGCAGUGAGGAAUUUUCCGCAAUGGACGAAAGUCUGACGGAGCAACGCCGCGUGCAGGAGGAAGGUUUUCGGAUCGUAAACUGCCUUUCUCGGGGACGAGCAAGGACGGUACCCGAGGAAGAAGCCCCGGCUAACGUACGUGCCAGCAGCCGC